rnacentral:tRNA from 1 species
AGCUCAGAGGUACAGCAUGUGCUUCCCAGGCACGAGGCUCUGGGUUCAUAUCCCAG